AGUGAACGCUGGCGGUAGGCCUAACACAUGCAAGUCGAACGGCAGCACAGUAAUAGCUUGCUCUUACGGGUGGCGAGUGGCGGACGGGUGAGGAAUACAUCGGAAUCUACUUUUGCGUGGGGGAUAACGUAGGGAAACUUACGCUAAUACCGCAUACGACCUACGGGUGAAAGCAGGGGAUCUUCGGACCUUGCGCGAUUGAAUGAGCCGAUGUCGGAUUAGCUAGUUGGCGGGGUAAAGGCCCACCAAGGCGACGAUCCGUAGCUGGUCUGAGAGGAUGAUCAGCCACACUGGAACUGAGACACGGUCCAGACUCCUACGGGAGGCAGCAGUGGGGAAUAUUGGACAAUGGGCGCAAGCCUGAUCCAGCCAUACCGCGUGGGUGAAGAAGGCCUUCGGGUUGUAAAGCCCUUUUGUUGGGAAAGAAAAGCAGCAGGUUAAUACCCCGCUGUUCUGACGGUACCCAAAGAAUAAGCACCGGCUAACUUCGUG
rnacentral:rRNA from 1 species